UACGGAGGGUGCAAACGUUGCUCGGAAUCAUUGGGCGUAAAGCGCGCGUAGGCGCGAGGCAAGUUGGAUGUGAAAGCCCUGGGCUCAACCUAGGAUGUGCAUACAAAACUGCCUCGCUUGAAUCUCGGAGGGGGUCAGGGAAUUCCCGGUGUAGAGGUGAAAUUCGUAGAUAUCUGGAGGAACACCGGUGGCGAAGGCGGCAUCCUGGACCGGCAUUGACGCUGAGGAGCGAAAGCCAGGGGAGCAAACGGG
rnacentral:rRNA from 1 species